rnacentral:rRNA from 1 species
CCUUCCAGUGAUAAUUUAGGCUGCACCUUUCAGCUCUUGUCUGAUAUCAGAAGCUCAGCAGGGUUAUGCUGGAUAGUAAUUGGAUGGAAGACCUUUUGGAAAUACUCAGUGCUGUGGGCU